AGGCACUGGAGGGAGCAGGAGUCUACAACCAGGGGUGAGGCUGUCAAUUGCGACCCAGAUAAAUGGUCUGGGUUCAGAAAGAGUCUGACUUUCAGCAGGGAACUGGGAUCAGUAGGACCCCAGGAACUCGAUGGAAGUAGAGCCGGUUGAUCUAGAAGCCCACUGGAAAGGGUUUUGGAAGAAAGAAGGAAUACAUCUUUAUCAAGAGGAUGAACACAUGUGAAGCAAAGGAAAAUGGUGUCUCUGUGGAUAUUUGCACUUGACUGGGAGGAAGUGAAAGAAAUCAGUUUCCCCUUGACCUACCAUAAAUUUACUGACCUGAGGAUGCUAUAAAUUGGUAUGAACACUUAAACCAUACUAAGAUCAUUAGAAAUUAAUAGGACCACUUUGCCUCUUUCCGACAUGCAGAAAUGGAUCUGUAUUAAUCACAGUGAUAUUAAUAAAAGGAAAGGUGCCCUCUUUUGCGCACGUCCUAUACAAAUGGCUUCACUUUUAAAGGAAAUGAAAUGCGUGACUCAGAGAACCCGGAGUGCAUGGUGUUCAGUUCCGAAUAUUCUGUGAACUGGUUCACAAGCUGCUGGAGCAGCGAAGCCUGCAAGCCCGUUCACUGACAUUCCAGUUCAAUCUCUUUCCUGAAUCUACUGCAGACUUUAUUGCCACUUAGAAACCCUGACAUUCUGCAAAUUGUACAGCGAACCCUUAAUGAUUUCUGAAACAAGAAUGAGGUAAUCUUCACAGCAAUUUUAAAUAUUCCAGAGGUCAAGGGGGCAUUUAUGGUUUCCUUUAUCACAGACUGAAUUGACUUUUUCAGUUAAUCAUUUAAGCAACAAAUUACG